CUUUGCUCCUGGCACACGGUGCCACAGUGUCUGAGGCAGUCUUGACAUUAGGUACCGUAAUGACAUGAUUCUUCCAAAGUCAGUUGAGGAGAGCCUCAUACAACUGGAAGAUGAAAAAACGGAGGCAGAAAUUUUAUUUGAGUGAUUUAGCUACCCAAAGGGGCAGAGAAUAUGAAGGACUGGUAUAUAAAGGUUAGAGAUUCUCCCAUUCAGGGCUGGAGAAUGGCGGCUGGCUGUAUGCUGGAUGCUGGACUCCUCUAACCCUAAGACCAACAUGGAUUCUUUGGUCCCAGUAUAUCUUUAUCUCUGUCUGACUGGAUAAUUUGAGAUGAGAGUCCUGUCCAGUCAAUCUUACUCUCCCAUUAAUAAAAUAUUAAAAACUCUCUAA